CUCAAGUGUCGGGUCCUGGGAAGAUACAAACUAGAUAAUUUGGGAACAUAUCUGUGACGGAGUUUCCAGGCGGCUCUCUGGAUAACAGCGGACAUUGUGACUGUGGCGGUUGGGGCACUGUGCUCGCUGCAGCUGCCGUUAUGAGGUUCGCGAUCCUGCAGCUGCCGUUAUGAGGUUCGCGAUCCUGCAGCUGCCGUUAUGAGGUUCGCGAUCCUGCAGCUGCCGUUAUGAGGUUCGCGAUCCUGCAGCUGCCGUUAUGAGGUUCGCGAUCCUGCAGCUGCCGUUACGAGGUUCGCGAUUUGAGAAGUGGCUUUCAGCUAGAGUUUAACAGCCGAACUGAUGUUUUGGAGGAACUUCCCGAGUGCAUUUGCUGCAUUCCGA
rnacentral:lncRNA from 1 species